GACGAACGCUGGCGGCGUGCCUAAUACAUGCAAGUCGAACGCUUCUUUCCUCCCGAGUGCUUGCACUCAAUUGGAAAGAGGAGUGGCGGACGGGUGAGUAACACGUGGGUAACCUACCCAUCAGAGGGGGAUAACACUUGGAAACAGGUGCUAAUACCGCAUAACAGUUUAUGCCGCAUGGCAUAAGAGUGAAAGGCGCUUUCGGGUGUCGUUGAUGGAUGGACCCGUGGUGCAUUAGCUAGUUGGUGAGGUAACGGCUCACCAAGGCCACGAUGCAUAGCCGACCUGAGAGGGUGAUCGGCCACACUGGGACUGAGACACGGCCCAGACUCCUACGGGAGGCAGCAGUAGGGAAUCUUCGGCAAUGGACGAAAGUCUGACCGAGCAACGCCGCGUGAGUGAAGAAGGUUUUCGGAUCGUAAAACUCUGUUGUUAGAGAAGAACAAGGACGUUAGUAACUGAACGUCCCCUGACGGUAUCUAACCAGAAAGCCACGGCUAACUACGUG
rnacentral:rRNA from 1 species